UACGAAGGGUGCAAGCGUUACUCGGAAUUACUGGGCGUAAAGCGUGCGUAGGUGGUGAGUUAAGUCUGUCGUGAAAUCCCCAGGCUCAACCUGGGAACUGCGUCUGAUACUGGACGGCUUGAGUAUGGGAGAGGGAUGUAGAAUUCCAGGUGUAGCGGUGAAAUGCGUAGAUAUCUGGAGGAAUACCGGUGGCGAAGGCGGCAUCCUGGACCAUUACUGACGCUGAGGCGCGAAAGCUAGGGGAGCAAACGGG
rnacentral:rRNA from 1 species